GGAACAAGCUGGAAGCUGU
rnacentral:snRNA from 1 species